CAUAUGUUACCAUGUACCCUACAUGGUACAUAGAAUGCCAUGGAUCAUAUGUACCAUACAUGGUACAUAGAAGAUGGGCAGUCAUUGUAAAUUCUCUUUGUUAUUAUAUCAAAAUUUACUUUUUCUUUCCCACCCAUCUCCUCCCUUCCCCUCCCCUCCCCUCCCCUCUCCUUCUUUUCCCUUCCCUCCCUCUUGCAGUGAUGGUGAAUGCCUGAAUUUUUUCAAUUAGUCCUUUUGGGGUCCAGGCACAACUGAGAUUAAUAUCAGUUAGAACUUGAGCAUCGUUGCCAAAUCCUCAACUCCUUAUGCUGACACAUGGACCACAUGAAGGGACUUGUCUCAGUGCUAGGUGAUGCUAAUUACCAUCUGAUCUGAAACCAGAGUUGCUUUCCUUUGUUUAAUAAUUUAUAUCUUCUCUGAGAACACUGGACUAAAGUUUAAUAUUACAGAAAGGGAUGAUUGAUCUAAAUGCCAACAAAGCUAAACUGUAGGAAAAUCACCCAAAGCCCCUUUGUGGGCUGCCACUCACAGGCAACCUAAAGCACCAGGUGGCAUUUGAGGGAGUGUGCACAAGAAACAGUAGGAGAGUUAAACUCCUGAGAUGUGAAGUGUGGGUCAAGCCUCUCUCCCUGGGUGUCACCAGCUCCUGCUGGCUGAGAGGCAUGGCAGGGCUCCUGGAAGCGAGAACAUCACAGCCUCAGGCUCCAGUGUAUGGACUCCCAGAGACAGAGAUGAGCCUUCUGUUCCCAGUGAUCACAGGGCCCCGGGAUGAAGCCAGCCUCAAGAUAAUAAAUCAGGUAAUUAUUUCCAUCCUUUCUAUGACAAUAAUGGUGUCGAGGCAGGCAAAAAUUCAUCAGAGGCAGCUUUGCAAGUCCCCCGGGAGACUCACGAUAAAGAGGUUGAUUGUCAGAAUCUGCCUCUGCAGCAUCACACCAGGGCUCUGUAAUGACGGCCGAGGGCCACAUUGUGCCUCCAGAGUAAAGAAUUGUGGAGAUGAAAAAAAGACAGACACCUAAAUCCUAGCCCAGUGCCCCCCUGAGUCUGUGUGGACGGUCUGGAUCAGUAAUUAGAAACACAGCGCAAUAAAUAUUGAAAGAAGCUCUGUAAACAUUCUAGAGGACAAUGAAAUUAGAAAUAAUAAGCAGAUGGGCUUUUAUUCAAAGCAAAUCACGCCAGAUGGACUCAGUACCUUUCUUUUUUGCAGUAAAAGUACAAAGUUGGUAGAUAAAGGAAAAUGGUACGCUUGAUGUCGUAUGUUUGAAGAUUGUUAAAACAUUUGAGUCUUCCAAGAAGUUUGAUUUGCAGAAUUGGCUCAGAAUGCCUGGAAUAGAAGCACAUACCUGACAGAAAAAAGUUGGAUAAAUGCUGCUAAUUGGGCAAUAGAAAGUACUGGAACAAUGGGCUGUUGGGACAACCUCACAAGGGGUCUUCUAAGAGACCGUAGAGAUCAUCAGUUCCAACCCUCUCAAUUAAGAGUAAAGAAACUCAAUCAAAAGGAGACAAUUACUCACAAAAGCAGGGCUAGGAAAAAGGUACUUGACAAUUAGUUCUGCAGUGUGAGUGCUUGGUCUCCUCUUUACCUGGUGUCUCUAUUAUCUAGGAAAGGAAAUAGAUAUGGUCAAGUCUGGUUUUGAAAGGAUCCUAAAUACGGAGAUGCAAUAAUCGGACCCUGGCCACCAAACCCUGUAUCAAUCAUGUCUUCUAAAGAGGGUGGGGCUUCAGACAAAGUGGAGAUGGGGGUUGAGAAACAAUUGGGAAGUUUUGCCGCAGACCGAGCUCCUGAGGUCCCUGUGAAGUUUUCGAGCCACUUUCAAGGAUAUGAAUUCAUUCUUGCUGUGAAGCACAUGUUGCCCAUUUUGCAGUGAGUAAAUGGCAAAACUUAGGGAGAUUUGGAGACCGCUCCAACGAAGCCUAAAGCCAGCACGUACCAGAGUUGGGAUUAAAGCACAGAUCCUCUGAUUCCAGUCACUUCUCUCUCACCCAAAUUACACUUUGGUAAAAUUCUGUUGUAGGCCCAGACGUCCUUCCUGCCCUCUAUCUCCCCAGCAGUCUCCCCUCUCUCUUGGCUGGGCUCUUACACAGUUCAUUCGUAACUCUAAGGCCUUGCCCUCUCAGGAAUACUCCACGACCUUCUCCCAUUCCCUCCCCGUUCUUCCUCAAAACAAGUUGAUUUCUGUUCCUGUUUCUGCUCAGCUCUUAUACAUAAACUUUGUCACCCUAAAAAGCAUAAACUUCAUAUAAACAAAUUUCCACUAUUGCCUCUACGGAUGAUCGUUUCACCUUCAGGAAAUCAUUUCACUUCCCAAGGCUGCUUUCUCAUUUAAAACAAAAACCAGCCGUGAUGUCUACUUUGUGACUUGCAUUGAAGGAACGUAUGUAAAUCCCAUCUAGUCAAUGCCUAAUAUGGAGUAGAUGCUCAGUAUGUAUUUAUUAAGAUAAAUUUAGGCUGAGAUCUUUUCUUAAGGUACCUCUCCAUAGUUUUUCCUUUCUUAUGCAGAGCAAUGUAUUGCCCCCAAACCCAUAUCUAAACCCCCCACUUUACCCAUUAAACAGGGAAACCUCCGUUGUCAGGAUCUAGUCUUUUGAGUGGCUGGCAGUUUGAAGCUGGAGGUGUAUUUUCAAUAAAUGAUUUUGUUCCUUUAACACAUAAUUUUUUUUUUCCCUGUCAGAGAGUAAAAGAAUUUUGCAACAGGCAGCUCUGGAAAGGGGAGUCGUUGAAGCAUAGGAAAAAAAUGGAAACUCACCUUCAUUUCUUUUUCCUGCUAAACAAUAGCUUGUUGGUCUUCAUUGGUCCUAGUUUUCUGCUCUGAGUGACUUCUGGGACAACACUGUUAGAACUUACUAUUGUCUCUUUUUUUCUUUUUGUAAUAACCCUAGAUGCAGUCUUAGUAGGAAAUACCUUAUUCAUCAUCUGAUGACAGUAUUAUUAUUAUUAUUUUAGUUUAUUUACUUUCUACAGAAGGAGCAUAGCAGCUAAAGAAAUGCCUAUUUUGGCUGGGCAUGGUGGCUCAUGCCUGUAAUCCCAGCACUUUGGGAGGCUGAGGCGGGAGGAACACUUGAGGUUGGGAGUUCAAGACCAGCCUGGACAACAUGGAGAAACUCUGUCUCUACUAAAAAUACAAAAAUUAGCUGGGCAUGGUGGUGGGCGCCUGUAAUCCCAGUUACUCAGAAGGCUGAGGCAGGAGAAUUGCUCGAACCCGGGAGGUGGAGUUUGCAGUGAGCUGAGAUUGUGCCACUGCACUCCAGCCUGGGCAACACAGAGAGACUCCAUCUCAAGAAAAAAAAAAAAAAGCCUAUUUUUCCCCUCUCCUCACAACAGGAAUAAAUUUAGUAAAUAUUUGAGAAUCAUAACUCUAAAUGUUACUGAAACACAUUGUUGCACACACAUCUAUCACUAAGAAAUAUCACUACACAGAGUGCAAAGAUAUAUGACUUACAUUGCUAUCUAAUCACACAAAAACUCUGAAAAUGGCAGCUAUUAUUAUCACCAUUUUGCAGAUAAGAAAACUGAGGUACAGAAGAGAUUAAGUGACCGACCUCUUGCCUAGUUGGUAGCAAAGUCAGGAUUUGAACUCAGGUCAAUCUGUUUCUGUUUUUCUGUUAAUCUGUAUUCAGGAUCUAUGCUUCUCAUGUAAUACUUUAUCAUUAUAAAAGACUUUUGACUUUUAAAAUAUAGCAGACAAAAGACUUCUUCGCUCUAAGAUAGAGUAAGAAGAAGUUACAGAUUUUGAAAAGAAAAUGCCAAUGGUCAUUGACUGGUGAGGGGUAAAAUCUUGUCCUUGAGAGGUUUUUCUCCAGGACUGUUCUUCUAGGCCCCGUUCUUCCCCCAGUACUUGACCUGGUUUACCUUAAUUGGUGUGCUGUUUCAGGGUUUCUGCUCCUGGUUUCAGAUGGUCCAUUUUUUUUCCCUAUCCAGCUAGAGACUUAAACCAAGUCAGCACAGUUACUGGGUUCCCACAUUGUGCUGGUGCUGAGGACAGGAAAAUCCUGAGAACAGGAAAAUCCUUUCCCUUUCCUUCCAGGAGCUUAUGGUCUAGCAGCAGAGAUGAAGGAGUAAACAGACAAUUUUCAUUAAGUGGUGAUCACAGGGAGCAGCAUAAGCACAUAGGGUCACAUAACACAGCCUUGGGAGCUGGGGAACGCAGGCUAAGGAGGUGGCCUGUGCAGAGGCUAAAGGAGGAGUAGGCUAGCCUGGAGAAAGCCAGGAUAGCGCAGAGGCUACAAAGCCUCAGAGGCUAUAGAAAGCAUUUUAGAUGUAGAGAAUGACUUUAGUGUUUUUUCUUCUGAUUUAGAGCUGGAAUAUUCCAGAAAAAAUUUCAUCCCUACCCAUACCCUGGUGUAUUGGUCCGUUUUCAUGCUCCUGAUAAAGACAUACCUGAUACUGGGCAAUUUAUGAAAGAAAGCAGUUUAAUGGAUUCAGUUUCAUAUGGCUGGGGAGGCCUCACAUAUGCAGGAGCGAAGGCAUAUCUCACAUGGGCAGACAAGAGAGAAUAGAACAAGCA
ensembl:lncRNA